UACGUAGGGGGCGAGCGUUGUCCGGAAUCAUUGGGCGUAAAGAGCGUGUAGGCGGACUGGAAGGUCUGGUGUGAAAAGCCCGGGGCUCAACCCCGGAGGGUCACUGGAAACCAACAGUCUUGAGUCCGGAAGAGGAGGGUGGAAUUCCUGGUGUAGCGGUGGAAUGCGCAGAUAUCAGGAGGAACACCAAUGGCGAAGGCAGC
rnacentral:rRNA from 1 species